rnacentral:pre_miRNA from 10 species
GCCGGGUGACCCUGGAAAUCCAGAGUGGGUGGGGCCAGUCUGACCGUUUCUAGGCGACCCACUCUUGGUUUCCAGGGUUGCCCUGG